GACGAACGCUGGCGGCGUGCUUAACACAUGCAAGUCGAACGCUGAACCCGCUUCGGUGGGGGAUGAGUGGCGAACGGGUGAGUAACACGUGGGCAACCUGCCCCCGGCUCUGGGAUAACUCCAAGAAAUUGGGGCUAAUACCGGAUGUGACCGCUGGCCGCAUGGUCUGGUGGUGGAAAGGGUUUCCGGCUGGGGAUGGGCCCGCGGCCUAUCAGCUUGUUGGUGGGGUAGUGGCCUACCAAGGCGACGACGGGUAGCCGGCCUGAGAGGGUGACCGGCCAGAGCGGGACGGAGACAGGGCGCAGACCCCUCCGGGCGGCAGGCGGUGGGAAGGUUGGACACUGGGGGAAAGCCUGAUCCAGCAAUGCCGCGUGAGGGAUGAAGGGGUUAGGGGCGUAAAGCUCUCGGACAAGGGAUGAUAAGGACAGUACCGGGAGAAGAAGCUCGGGGUAACUCCGUG
rnacentral:rRNA from 1 species